rnacentral:rRNA from 1 species
UACGGAGGGUGCAAACGUUGCUCGGAAUCAUUGGGCGUAAAGCGCACGUAGGCGGCUAUUCAAGUCAGAGGUGAAAGCCCGGGGCUCAACCCCGGAACUGCCUUUGAAACUAGGUAGCUAGAAUCUUGGAGAGGUCAGUGGAAUUCCGAGUGUAGAGGUGAAAUUCGUAGAUAUUCGGAAGAACACCAGUGGCGAAGGCGACUGACUGGACAAGUAUUGACGCUGAGGUGCGAAAGCGUGGGGAGCAAACAGG